GAUGAACGCUAGCGGUAGGCCUAACACAUGCAAGUCGAGGGGCAGCAUAGAGUAGCAAUACUUUGAUGGCGACCGGCGCACGGGUGAGUAACACGUAUGCAACCUACCUACAUCAGGGGAAUAACCCGGAGAAAUUCGGACUAAUACCGCAUAAUACAGGGAUGCCGCAUGGCAAUAUUUGUUAAAGAUUUAUCGGAUGUAGAUGGGCAUGCGUUCCAUUAGCUAGUUGGUGAGGUAACGGCUCACCAAGGCAACGAUGGAUAGGGGAACUGAGAGGUUUGUCCCCCACACGGGAACUGAGACACGGACCAGACUCCUACGGGAGGCAGCAGUGAGGAUUAUUGGUCAAUGGACGAGAGUCUGAACCAGCCAAAUCGCGUGAAGGAAGACUGCCCUACGGGUUGUAAACUUCUUUUGUACAGGAAUAAAAGAAUCUACGUGUAGAUUAUUGCAUGUACUGUACGAAUAAGCAUCGGCUAACUCCGUGCCAGCCGCCGCGGUAA
rnacentral:rRNA from 1 species